AUCCAACACGUUUGCGCAAGUUUGUCGCUAAAGGUCAAAGACCCACUCUUGAUGAGUUAACAAAGACGGAUAAAGCAGGAAUGAGUGAUCUGCUCGAUCUAAUGCAGAAGUGCUGGAACGGUGAUCCAACCCAGAGGCCAACAUUUGAAGAGAUUACUCCCAUGGUGGAGAACGUGUACUCAAAGCAUAAAUCCAAAAUUAAUUAUGAGGUCUACGAGGUUCUAAAACAGCUGGAAAGUGACCCUCUGGAACCUCAACAUAAUCCGUUAACCAGCAACAAAAUCAGUUUACCAGCAACUCCACCAUAGUUUGAUACUGCAGUAAAUUGUAAGCCUGGGUAUUAUUUUCCAGAUAUUGAUUAGAUUUGAUUCACAAGAGCCUGGAUC